GCUGGCUUAGCUCAAUUAGGCAGAGCAGCUGAUUUGUAAUCAGCAGGUUGAUGGUUCGAUUCCAUUAGCCAGCUCCA
rnacentral:tRNA from 1 species